CCUGGGUGUCUAUGAAACUUUUGAGAGCACCAGCUAGGGUAGGAGGACUAGCGGUUCCUGACAUUCGCACUUACUACCAUGCAUCUAUUUUAGCGGCUGGUAUGGCACAUUUUGAUAAUCACAACCCUCCUCAGUGGGUUCAAAUGGAACAACACAUGAUGUCGCCAUAUGAUAUCACACACAUUUUAUGGCUUCCCAAACAGUUUCGGCCCUUCUUAAAAACAGUCCCGGAUCAGAUAGCCUUGUUAAUAAAAAUUUGGGAUAUACACAGAUAUAAGUUAAGUAGACAACUAAUCUCCCUUGCUACUCCUACGGAGGCUCUCAUAUAUUGCAUUCCUACGUUUUAUGCAAAACCAUGGAGGGAGA